UACUUUUGAUGUAGUAUUCUUGAACGAAAAAACUGUUUUGCCUCGUGCUUUUCUAGACCAAGAUCAAGCUGAAAGUCAUCUAACCGCCCAUACACAAGACUGUCUACCAGAUUUCAAUUGUUUCAGGCUCGUUCUGAUGUCAGUUUUACCGAGAGUAUGGAAUCUUUGUGCGCCUACCCAACAGCUGAAAGUUCGGAAAAUGAGGCAAGCCAUUCUAUAGGAGAUAAUUCGGAUGGUGAGAUAAAGACAGAGGCCGUCGCAACUCAAGCGGGUGACAGCACGCAGGCGUUUGGCCAGCCUUUUCAGUGUAACAUCUGCUUGGAGCCGGUAUCAUUUCCUGUUGUGACACAGUGUGGACAUCUUUAUUGUUGGCCUUGUCUAUAUAAGUGGCUGGGGCAUCAUCCUGUCUGUCCUGUGUGUAAGGCUGGUAUCUAUAAAGACAAGGUUAUUUUUAUUUACGGCCAUGAAAAAUCUAUAAGAGACGCAGAGAAGCUUGUGUCUGAGUGUCCUACGAGUCAACGCCCAGAAGUGCCUCCAACCUACGAGUUCCCGCAUCAUCCCAAUUUCGUAGAGCCAGGAGAUGGCACCCGACAUUCUACCGCGACGUACACAAUCUCUGCGCCGUUCAUCCCUUCUUUCUUGCGACUUCAAUUUACGGUACACCAACCAUUCGGGGACGCACAGAUGAGACCUGAGCGAGACCUGCAAGCAAUGUGGUCGAUGCUAUUCAUAUACAUCGGGAUGGCCGUUUUCUUUUUCAUUGUGCUAUUCUAGCAUCUCGUCACUGAAGACUGAAGGCCACUUGCAAAGAUGGCGAGGAUACGAAAAGUGUAUAACUGUAUAUCAAUUUGAAUUUUUUUCUUGCGUGUAUGCAGAGAUCGAUCUCUGCGGAUAGUCCUCGUGUGAUUCUCCCUCUACAGGGGGAAACAACCCGCGCAUUGUCUCUAGUAAUUUUUUUAAUGUACGCAACUCGAUGGCUUCGGCUGUUUUUCGAUCAUA